rnacentral:rRNA from 1 species
UACGGAGGGUGCGAGCGUUGUUCGGAAUCACUGGGCGUAAAGCGCGUGUAGGCGGCCUUGUAAGUCUGGGGUGAAAGCCCGGGGCUUAGCCCCGGGAGUGCACUGGAAACUGUGAGGCUAGAGUACCGGAGAGGAGGGUGGAAUUCCUGGUGUAGCGGUGAAAUGCGUAGAUAUCAGGAGGAACACCGGUGGCGAAGGCGGCCCUCUGGACGUAUACUGACGCUGAGACGCGAAAGCGUGGGGAGCAAACAGG